UACGAAGGGGGCUAGCGUUGCUCGGAUUGACUGGGCGUAAAGGGCGCGUAGGCGGUUCGUACAGUCAGACGUGAAAUUCCUGGGCUCAACCUGGGGCUGCGUUUGAUACGUGCGGACUUGAGUGCGGAAGAGGGUCGUGGAAUUCCCAGUGUAGAGGUGAAAUUCGUAGAUAUUGGGAAGAACACCGAUGGCGAAGGCAGCCAUCUGGACCGACACUGACGCUGAGGCGCGAAAGCGUGGGGAGCAA
rnacentral:rRNA from 1 species